ACCUAGCAAUGCUAAAGUGCUACUGCCAGCACACUCACGGCUGAAUUUAAUCCGCACUCUACGAGUACCUAUACUCGAGCGCUCUACACGACUCUAUCGCGUGCCAUACUAAGUCUAGCAUUAGGCAACUCUUGCCUAUGCACACCGAUUACACGAGCACGACCCAUUUACCUCAAUCCGAGGUACUACUAGGUCCACGUGCACGCACCUGACCACUGACCGAUCAUUUCAUCAACAGUGAUUCUACUUUCACUGUUCGAUCUACCGGAACAAUCUGCAAAACGCUCGGUCUCACCAGAGUUCCACGAACAUUGCGACUAGACUCUCGCAAUCAGCAACUCGCAUUAGUGUUGAGAGUUGGUCAACCAUUGCCAUUGUUACUACGAGUUCCACUCUUUAUUCACAAGCUAUCACCAGCGAUUUGCUAGUGCUCUAGAACUCUCUACCUGCCUCAACA
rnacentral:lncRNA from 1 species